rnacentral:lncRNA from 1 species
GCAAAGUCUGGGCCACACCCGUCUACUGCAUCAGAAACUCUGGAAUCUGGGUCUUAACAAACCCUCCAAGUGAUCCUGAUGCCAGCUCAAGUUUGACCCCAGAUUAGAGGGACACAAUGAGAAGGCUGGCACUCCAGGGUGGGACCUUCCCCGGGUCCCCCAAAGCAUCAGUCAAGUCUACCCAGGUGAUGAAUUUGCUUCGUGCAAGGGUUUAGGAGCAUGGAGUCCAAUCCUCCCGGCUCUAAGCAGGACCCAGCCAGCCUGCUCUACCCAGAGCCUUCCUUAGCUACUCCCAGCCACGCAAUGUCAAUCACAACCUCCUGCCUCUCCGGCAGGCCAGGGCAGUGGAAGUUCUGACCAGUUCCUCAGCCCAGAAGACCUCCCAGGAACCUGGCCUGCCUCUGUCCUGAGCUUUCACACAGGGUUCCUCAAGCUCGGCCCUGCUGACAUCUGGGAUUGGGUAAUUCUUAGGUGGGGGCACUGUCCUAUGCAUUAAAGGAUGUUUAGCAUCA